AGAGUUUGAUCAUGGCUCAGGAUGAACGCUGGCGGCGUGCCUAACACAUGCAAGUCGAGCGGUAAGGCUACUUCGGUAGUACACGAGCGGCGGACGGCUGAGUAACGCGUAGGAACCUACCCCAGACUGAGGGAUAAGCACCAGAAAUGGUGUCUAAUACCGCAUAAUCUCUUUUAGAGCAAAGCUACGGCGGUUUGGGA
rnacentral:rRNA from 1 species